AACGAACGCUGGCGGCAGGCCUAACACAUGCAAGUCGAACGCCCUAGCAAUAGGGAGUGGCAGACGGGUGAGUAACACGUGGGAACCUUCCCUAUAGUACGGAAUAGCCCAGGGAAACUUGGAGUAAUACCGUAUACGCCCGAGAGGGGAAAGAUUUAUCGCUAUAGGAUGGGCCCGCGUCGGAUUAGCUAGUUGGUGAGGUAAUGGCUCACCAAGGCAACGAUCCGUAGCUGGUUUGAGAGAAUGACCAGCCACACUGGGACUGAGACACGGCCCAGACUCCUACGGGAGGCAGCAGUGGGGAAUCUUGGACAAUGGGCGCAAGCCUGAUCCAGCCAUGCCGCAUGAGUGAUGAAGGCCUUAGGGUUGUAAAGCUCUUUUGGCGGGGACGAUAAUGACGGUACCCGCAGAAUAAGUCCCGGCUAACUUCGUGCCAGCCGCCGCAGUAAUAC
rnacentral:rRNA from 1 species